GAUGAACGCUGGCGGCGUGCCUAAUACAUGCAAGUCGAGCGAACGGACGAGAAGCUUGCUUCUCUGAUGUUAGCGGCGGACGGGUGAGUAACACGUGGAUAACCUAUCUAUAAGACUGGGAUAACUUCGGGAAACCGGAGCUAUUACCGGAUAAUAGUUUGAACCGCAUGGUUCAAGAGUGAAAGACGGUCUUGCUGUCACUUAUAUAUGGAUCCGCGCUGCAUUAGCUAGUUGGUAGGGUAACGGCUUACAAAGGCAACGUUGCAUAGCCGACCUGUGAGGGGGACGGGCAAAACGGGACCUGGGACAGGCUCCAGACUCCUACGGGAGGAACAAGGAGGGAAUCUUCCGAAAUGACCGAAGGCCUGACGGACAAACGCCGCGGGAGUAAGAAGGCUCUCCGGAUCGAAAGACCUUGUUAUCAGGGAAGAACGUAUGUGUAAGUAACUGUACACAAAUUGACGGUACCUAAUCAGAAAGCCACGGCUAACUACGUG
rnacentral:rRNA from 1 species